GAUGAACGCUGGCGGCGUGCCUAAUACAUGCAAGUCGAGCGAACGGACGAGAAGCUUGCUUCUCUGAUGUUAGCGGCGGACGGGUGAGUAACACGUGGAUAACCUACCUAUAAGACUGGGAUAACUUCGGGAAACCGGAGCUAAUACCGGAUGAUAUUUUGAACCGCAUGGUUCAAAAGUGAAAGACGGUCUUGCUGUCACUUAUAGAUGGAUCCGCGCUGCAUUAGCUAGUUGGUAAGGUAACGGCUUACCAAGGCAACGAUGCAUAGCCGACCUGAGAGGGUGAUCGGCCACACUGGAACUGAGACACGGUCCAGACUCCUACGGGAGGCAGCAGUAGGGAAUCUUCCGCAAAGGGCGAAAGCCUGACGGAGCGACGCCGCGUGAGUGAUGAAGGUCUUCGGAUCGUAAAACUCUGUUAUUAGGGAAGAACAUAUGUGUAAGUAACUGUGCACAUCUUGACGGUACCUAAUCAGAAAGCCACGGCUAACUACGUG
rnacentral:rRNA from 1 species